UACGAACUGCGCAAACGUUAUUCGGAAUUACUGGGCUUAAAGAGUCCGUAGGCGGCUCGGUAGGUGAGGUGUGAAAUCCCACGGCUCAACCGUGGAAUUGCGCUUCAAACCGCCAAGCUGGAGGGAGAUAGAGGAGAGCGGAACUGAUGGUGGAGCGGUGAAAUGCGUUGAUAUCAUCAGGAACACCGGUGGCGAAAGCGGCUCUCUGGGUCUCUUCUGACGCUGAGGGACGAAAGCUAGGGGAGCGAACGGG
rnacentral:rRNA from 1 species